rnacentral:rRNA from 1 species
GUCAGCUCGUGUCGUGAGAUGUUGGGUUAAGUCCCGCAACGAGCGCAACCCUUGAAUUUAGUUGCCAGCACUUCGGGUGGGCACUCUAGAUUGACUGCCGGUGACAAACCGGAGGAAGGCGGGGAUGACGUCAAAUCAUCAUGCCCCUUAUGACCUGGGCUACACACGUACUACAAUGGCCGGUACAACGGGCUGCGAAGGAGCGAUCUGGAGCUAAUCCUAUAAAGCCGGUCUCAGUUCGGAUUGGAGGCUGCAACUCGCCUCCAUGAAGUCGGAAUUGCUAGUAAUCGCGGAUCAGCAUGCCGCGGU